CACAACUCAUGGCUAUUCGUGGACAAGUUCCCUCUUCCCUCGUUCAUUUUUUCAGCGUCUGUCUCGUCGGAAGCCGCGAGAAGAACUGCCGAUCGCAAAAAUGGUGGCUCAGAAGAAACAG